rnacentral:lncRNA from 1 species
UGGCACGUUGAGCUGCUAGUUCCAUCUCCGCAGCUCCCAACUCCCCGUUGACUUUGGAGAUUUCCUGCUCCUUAUCUCUCAAGAGAUUCCUUUGAGCAGCCCAGUCCUCAGCCAACUUCUUGUUGGUAGCAGACAGAGUAGAGGCGUCGGAAGCUUUUUGCAUGACCUCGCCUUCCAGGUCUUUACAUCGGCGCUUCACCUUCUUCAGCUCAUCUUCCAUAGACUGGUAGUCACGGAGACGAGACAGAGAAGAGAGGCGGCCUUGGAAUAAAUAGGCGAGCUGCAAAAAGAAAGAAUGAGUAAGAACAUACCCAUGAAAAUAUUAAAAUAAAAGUACUUACGUUGCUCAGGUUCUGUCCGAUUUCUUCGACAGUCCGGUCCAUCGGAUACCCAGAUAUAGUCCGCAGUGUGGUUCGGGCGGCAUCCGUGUCAGCAACCAGAGGGAACUUGGUCCCGUAAUUCCGGGGGUGCGAACCUUGGUAACCCGGCAGCUGUGUCUCCCGGGUGGAAGAAUAAUUGUAUCGGCCCCGGGAGGACUCCCCAGUAUAAAGUCUCCGGCGUGGAGAAGCUCGUC